rnacentral:lncRNA from 1 species
AAUUUCCAUUAGCGCCUCCUACAGAAUGAGUAUACCACUUUUUUGCUCUUCCCAAAAGGGAGAAAGGAAAUAAUUUCCAUUUAAGGGUUUCUUGUGUCAUGCUGGAAAUAGAUCGGCAAGAGCACAACUGCUCGAAUUCUCUGAGGUGGGUGUAUGGAUCUUCAUCUACUUGCCCAGAGAAGGGUUGCUCCUGAAUCAUGGCUAUUAGAUUAGGGCCGAGGUCGUAGCCAUCUGUAAGAAUUGGAUGUAAUGAUGGUGGUGGCUCUAAUAACUCGCCCUUUGGAGCAAUUAAUUUAUAGAUAGGAGUGAAAUCUAUGUGGUAUGGUGAAAAUGGUAAGGUGAGUGUGGUAAAAAAAGGAAAAGAAAAAAAGGAUACACGAAAGACUUGGUUCGAAACUAGCACAGCUACCGUUCUCCGGCAACGGCGCCAGAAAGCUUGUUGGGUAUUUUAAACAUAAACAGAAAAAUCCGCAAGCGCACGGAUACCGAUGUAGCUUUCACC